AUUGAACGCUGGCGGCAUGCUUUACACAUGCAAGUCGAACGGUAACAGCACUUCGGUGGCUGACGAGUGGCGAACGGGUGAGUAAUACAUCGGAGCGUGCCUCGUAGUGGGGGAUAACUACUCGAAAGAGUAGCUAAUACCCCAUGAGGUCUAAGGAUGAAACCAGGGGACCUUCCGGCCUUGCGCCACUACAGCGGCCGAUGGCAGACUAGGUAGUCGGUGGGAGAAAAGCCUCCCAAGCCCCCGAUCUGCAGCUGGGCUGAGAGGACGACCCGCCCCCGGGGGAGGGAGACACGGCCCAGACGCCUACGGGAGGCAGCAGUGGGGAAGUGUGGACAAUGGGCGCAAGCCUGAUCGAGCAAUGCCGGGUGGAGGGUGAAGGCCUUCGGGUUGUAAACUGGUUGUGUACGGAACGAAGAGCGCUGUGGUAAGACAGGGGGGUCAUGACGGUACCGGAAGAAUAAGCACCGGCUAACUACGUG
rnacentral:rRNA from 1 species